rnacentral:rRNA from 1 species
AGUGAACGCUGGCGGUAGGCCUAACACAUGCCAGUCGAACGGCAGCACAGUAAGAGCUUGCUCUUACGGGUGGCGAGUGGCGGACGGGUGAGGAAUACAUCGGAAUCUACUUUUUCGUGGGGGAUAACGUAGGGAAACUUACGCUAAUACCGCAUACGACCUACGGGUGAAAGCAGGGGAUCUUCGGACCUUGCGCGAUUGAAUGAGCCGAUGUCGGAUUAGCUAGUUGGCGGGGUAAAGGCCCACCAAGGCGACGAUCCGUAGCUGGUCUGAGAGGAUGAUCAGCCACACUGGAACUGAGACACGGUCCAGACUCCUACGGGAGGGAGCAGUGGGGAAUAUUGGACAAUGGGCGCAAGCCUGAUCCAGCCAUACCGCGUGGGUGAAGAAGGCCUUCGGGUUGUAAAGCCCUUUUGUUGGGAAAGAAAAGCAGCAGGUUAAUACCCCGCUGUUCUGACGGUACCCAAAGAAUAAGCACCGGCUAACUUCGUG